rnacentral:misc_RNA from 1 species
UGGCUCUCGCAUCGAUGAAGAACGCAGCGAAAUGCGAUAAGUAAUGUGAAUUGCAGAAUUCAGUGAAUCAUCGAAUCUUUGAACGCAACUUGCGCCCUCUGGUAUUCCGGAGGGCAUGCCUGUUUGAGUGUCAUGUAGCCUCAAUCCCCCGGGUUUCCGGGAAGAUUGGACUUGGGCGUCUGCCGUGCCACACGGCUCGCCUUAAAUGAAUUAGUGGGACAAUUGACUGUAAUCGGGAGUAAUAAGUUUCUCUUGAUAAAGUCUAUUGACCGCUCAUAACUUGCUUCGGCACUCUAUGACUCUGACCUCAAAUCAGGUAGGACUACCCGCUGA